rnacentral:lncRNA from 13 species
AUGAGAGGGGAGGACAAGGGGUGGAGGAGAAGAAGGAGGAGGGGAUGGAGAGAGGAGGAGGGGAAAGGAGAGAGGACAAAAUAUUCAAAACAAAGGACGCUUUUGGACGACAGGAAAAGUUCUCGUAAACAUCCAGCUCUUACAAGGAUGGGCAGUCUUCCAAUCGCCCUGCUCCUCUGCGGUUUCCACGAGGUGGAACUCCACAGAGGUGACUGGAAUGAAGAGGAGGCUUUGGUGUCUGUCUCUACCCUACCACCUGGUGAGUGAGGUGUCUGUCUCUACCCUAUCACCUGGUGAGUGAGGUGUCUGUCUCUACCCUACCGCCUGGUGAGUGAGGUGUCUGUCUCUACCCUAUCACCU